GGGGAAUCUUGCGCAAUGGGCGAAAGCCUGACGCAGCAACGCCGCGUAAGGGAAGACGGCUUUAGGGUUGUAAACCUCUUUCAGUAGGGACGAAAACAGACGGUACCUACAGAAGAAGCUCCGGCUAACUACGUGCCAGCAGCCGCGGUAAUACGUAGGGAGCGAGCGUUGUCCGGAAUUAUUGGGCGUAAAGCGCGUGUAGGCGGCCCGCCAAGUCUGGUGUGAAAUCUUUCGGCUUAACCGGAAGCGGUCACUGGAUACUGGCGGGCUUGAGUCCGGAAGAGGAGAGUGGAAUUCCUGGUGUAGCGGUGGAAUGCGCAGAUAUCAGGAGGAACACCAAUGGCGAAGGCAGCUCUCUGGUACGUGACUGACGCUAAGACGCGAAAGCGUGGGGAGCAAAC
rnacentral:rRNA from 1 species